GACGAACGCUGGCGGCGUGCUUAACACAUGCAAGUCGAACGGAAAGGCUCCAGCUUGCUGGAGUACUCGAGUGGCGAACGGGUGAGUAACACGUGGGUGAUCUGCCCUGCACUUCGGGAUAAGCCUGGGAAACUGGGUCUAAUACCGGAUAGGACCGCACUUUGGUGUGUGUGGUGGAAAGGUUUUUCUGGUGUGGGAUGAGCUCGCGGCCUAUCAGUUUGUUGGUGGGGUAAUGGCCUACCAAGACGGCGACGGGUAGCCGGCCUGAGAGGGUGGACGGUCACAUUGGGACUGAGAUACGGCCCAGACUCCUACGGGAGGCAGCGGUGGGGAAUAUUGCACAAUGGGGGAAACCCUGAUGCAGCGACGCCGCGUGGGGGAUGAAGGCCUUCGGGUUGUAAACUCCUUUCGCUAGGGACGAAGCUUUUUGUGACGGUACCUGGAGAAGAAGCACCGGCUAACUACGUG
rnacentral:rRNA from 1 species